rnacentral:rRNA from 1 species
ACGUAGGUCUCAAGCGUUAUCCGGAUUUACUGGGCGUAAAGUGUCCGUAUCCUGAUAUAUAAGUCUGUUUUCAAAUCCCUCAGCUUAACUGAGGAAAGGGGAUAGAUACUGUAUAUCUAGAGAUUAUUAGGGGUUAGUGGAAUUUCCGGUGGAGCGGUGAAAUGUGUUGAUAUCGGAAAGAAUGCCGAAAGCGGAAGAAGCUAACUAUAUAAAUCUGACGGUGAGGGACGAAAGCUUGGGGAGCAAAAGG